rnacentral:rRNA from 1 species
UGUGCGAUGUGGGGACGGAGAAGGUUAGCUCAGCCAACUGUUGGAUAUGUUGGUUCAAGCAUGUAGGCGUGCUCUUUAGGCAAAUCCGGAGAGCUUAGCUGAGGUGUGAUAACGAGUCUGCUUGCAGACGAAGUGAGUGAUACCCUGCUUCCAGGAAAAGCCACUAAGCUUCAGCUAUAGAUUGACCGUACCGCAAACCGACACUGGUGCGCGAGAUGAGUAUUCUAAGGCGCUUGAGAGAACUCUGGAGAAGGAACUCGGCAAAUUGACACCGUAACUUCGGAAGAAGGUGUGCCUUUAGUAGGUGAACCAUUUACUUGGGGAGCCCAAUGAGGUCGCAGAGAAUCGGUGGCUGCAACUGUUUAAUAAAAACACAGCACUCUGCAAAGACGAAAGUCGACGUAUAGGGUGUGACGCCUGCCCGGUGCUGGAAGAUUAAUUGAUGGGGUGCAAGCUCUUGAUCGAAGUCCCAGUAAACGGCGGCCGUAACAAUAACGGUCCUAAGGUAGCGAAAUUCCUUGUCGGGUAAGUUCCGACCUGCACGAAUGGCGUAAUGAUGGCCACACUGUCUCCUCCAGAGACUCAGCGAAGUUGAAAUGUUUGUGAUGAUGCAAUCUCCCCGCGGAAAGACGGAAAGACCCCAUGAACCUUUACUGUAGCUUUACAUUGGACUUUGAACAGAUCUGUGUAGGAUAGGUGGGAGGCUUUGAAGCCAGGACGCUAGUUCUGGUGGAGCCAACGUUGAAAUACCACCCUGGUGUGUUUGAGGUUCUAACCUUGGCCCGUUAUCCGGGUUGGGGACAGUGUAUGGUGGGCAGUUUGACUGGGGCGGUCUCCUCCCAAAGUGUAACGGAGGAGUUCGAAGGUACGCUAGAUACGGUCGGAAAUCGUGUUGAUAGUGCAUUGGCAUAAGCGUGCUUGACUGCGAGACUGACAAGUCGAGCAGGUACGAAAGUAGGACAAAGUGAUCCGGUGGUUCUGUAUGGAAGGGCCAUCGCUCAACGGAUAAAAGGUACUCUGGGGAUAACAGGCUGAUACCGCCCAAGAGUUCAUAUCGACGGCGGUGUUUGGCACCUCGAUGUCGGCUCAUCUCAUCCUGGGGCUGUAGCCGGUCCCAAGGGUAUGGCUGUUCGCCAUUUAAAGAGGUACGUGAGCUGGGUUUAAAACGUCGUGAGACAGUUUGGUCCCUAUCUUCCGUGGGCGCUGCAAGAUUGAGAGAGCCUGCUCCUAGUACGAGAGGACCGGAGUGGACACACCUCUGGUGUAUCGGUUGUCACGCCAGUGGCAUUGCCGAGUAGCUAAGUGUGGAAGAGAUAACCGCUGAAAGCAUCUAAGCGGGAAACUCGUCUCAAGAUGAGUCUUGCCGGGGCCUUGAGCCCCCUGAAGAGUCGUUCAAGACCAGGACGUUGAUAGGUUGGGUGUGGAAGCGCAGUAAUGCGUUAAGCUAACCAAUACUAAUUGCUCGUGAGGCUAGACC